ensembl:miRNA
UGAGGAUGAAAAGACCCAUGGAGGAGAAGGUUCUGCUGGCUGAGAACCUUUCUCUCCAUGGGUCUUUCAUCCU